CAGUAGCCACGGUAAUACGUAGGUGGCAAGCGUUGUCCGGAAUUAUUGGGCGUAAAGGGCUCGCAGGCGGUUUCUUAAGUCUGAUGUGAAAGCCCCCGGCUCAACCGGGGAGGGUCAUUGGAAACUGGGAAACUUGAGUGCAGAAGAGGAGAGUGGAAUUCCACGCGUAGCGGUGAAAUGCGUAGAGAUGUGGAGGAACACCAGUGGCGAAGGCGACUCUCUGGUCUGCAACUGACGCUGAGGAGCGAAAGCGUGGGGAGCGAACAGGAUUAGAUACCCCAGUAGUCCCUGUCUCUUAUAC
rnacentral:rRNA from 1 species